UGGGGAAUAUUGGACAAUGGGCGAAAGCCUGAUCCAGCCAUGCCGCGUGUGUGAAGAAGGUCUUCGGAUUGUAAAGCACUUUAAGUUGGGAGGAAGGGCAGUAAGCGAAUACCUUGCUGUUUUGACGUUACUGACAGAAUAAGCACCGGCUAACUCUGUGCCAGCAGCCGCGGUAAUACAGAGGGUGCAAGCGUUAAUCGGAAUUACUGGGCGUAAAGCGCGCGUAGGUGGUUCGUUAAGUUGAAUGUGAAAGCCCCGGGCUCAACCUGGGAACUGCAUCCAAAACUGGCGAGCUAGAGUAGGGCAGAGGGUGGUGGAAUUUCCUGUGUAGCGGUGAAAUGCGUAGAUAUAGGAAGGAACACCAGUGGCGAAGGCGACCACCUGGGCUCAUACUGACACUGAGGUGCGAAAGCGUGGGGAGCAAACAGG
rnacentral:rRNA from 1 species